GACGAACGCUGGCGGCGUGCUUAACACAUGCAAGUCGAACGGAAAGGCCCUGCUUUUGUGGGGUGCUCGAGUGGCGAACGGGUGAGUAACACGUGAGUAACCUGCCCUUGACUUUGGGAUAACUUCAGGAAACUGGGGCUAAUACCGGAUAGGAGCUCCUGCUGCAUGGUGGGGGGUGGAAAGUUUCGGCGGUUGGGGAUGGACUCGCGGCUUAUCAGCUUGUUGGGGGGGUAGUGGCUUACCAAGGCUUUGACGGGUAGCCGGCCUGAGAGGGUGACCGGCCACAUUGGGACUGAGAUACGGCCCAGACUCCUACGGGAGGCAGCAGUGGGGAAUAUUGCACAAUGGGCGGAAGCCUGAUGCAGCAACGCCGCGUGCGGGAUGACGGCCUUCGGGUUGUAAACCGCUUUCGCCUGUGACGAAGCGUGAGUGACGGUAAUGGGUAAAGAAGCACCGGCUAACUACGUG
rnacentral:rRNA from 1 species